UGCCCAGAAACUCCUAUUUCUACCUCCUCGUGGUACCGGCCGGAAACUAUGAGCAACUUUGGGGAAGAUCGGGUAACCAACCCCGGUGGGAACUUUGGUAGUAGGCUGACAGGGAAGG
rfam:Aedes albopictus isolate Foshan contig10515, whole genome shotgun sequence.